rnacentral:rRNA from 1 species
UACGUAGGGGGCUAGCGUUGUCCGGAUUUAUUGGGCGUAAAGCGCGUGUAGGCGGUCCGGUAAGUCCGCUGUGAAAGUCGGGGGCUCAACCCUCGGAUGCCGGUGGAUACUGUCGGGCUUGAGUACGGAAGAGGCGAGUGGAAUUCCUGGUGUAGCGGUGAAAUGCGCAGAUAUCAGGAGGAACACCAAUUGCGAAGGCAGCUCGCUGGGACGUUACUGACGCUGAGACGCGAAAGCGUGGGGAGCAAACAGG